rnacentral:rRNA from 1 species
CCUAACACAUGCAAGUCGAACGGUAACAGGAAGAAGCUUGCUUCUUUGCUGACGAGUGGCGGACGGGUGAGUAAUGUCUGGGAAACUGCCUGAUGGAGGGGGAUAACUACUGGAAACGGUAGCUAAUACCGCAUAACGUCGCAAGACCAAAGAGGGGGACCUUCGGGCCUCUUGCCAUCGGAUGUGCCCAGAUGGGAUUAGCUAGUAGGUGGGGUAACGGCUCACCUAGGCGACGAUCCCUAGCUGGUCUGAGAGGAUGACCAGCCACACUGGAACUGAGACACGGUCCAGACCCCUACGGGAGGCAGCAGUGGGGAAUAUUGCACAAUGGGCGCAAGCCUGAUGCAGCCAUGCCGCGUGUAUGAAGAAGGCCUUCGGGUUGU